rnacentral:rRNA from 1 species
UUGAAGCUUGAAUGAAUGGUUGGACGAGGGAUAAGCUGUCUCCUUUACGGUAUUUGAAUUUAACUUUUGAGUGAAAAGGCUCAAAUUAUUUAAAGGGACGAUAAGACCCUAUAAAACUUGAUAUAGUUUGAACUUAACUUGCGGUUUAAGUGAAAAGUAGUUUUGUUUGUUUUAUAUUUUGUUGGGGAGAUAGAGAUAUAAUGUGUAACUGUCUAUUGAAUUUUAUAGUUUUAAUUAGUAUUUGAUCCUUCUUUGGGGAUUAAGAGAGUAAGUUACUUUAGGGAUAACAGCGUGAUUUUCUUUGAGAGUUCUGAUCGACAAGAGUAGUUGCGACCUAGAUG